rnacentral:lncRNA from 1 species
CACGCAUUACGUGUGGCCCGAAAAAAUGUCGCGGCUCGGAGAAAAACCAAUGUUCACUCCGCAAUACACAUCCUUCCCCCCCUUUCCACUCUGAUACCGCUGUUGCCAUUAAUCAAUGGAAAAUAAUUGCCCUAAAAGAGAUUUUGCCCCGCUCAUUUCUACCCUACGCUUUUUGCUGAGAUUAUGUUCCAUUUCGGCGAUUGAAGGUUUCGAUACUAUGGCAACAUAUGGUAAUGAACUAGCUUUUAUGAUUUAUUGAAGUCUAAUCGUUUUUUACUUUUUUUAUGCAUUUGAUUCAUAUGUGAGUUCUAGCCAAACAAGGUUCGAUUGUCGUUACUAGGGUUUUCACAUAAUCUUUGGUUAUUGAGUUCCUGGAUCUACAAAUUGACCGAUCUCAAUUCUUUAUACUUUAGUUUUAUUUGCGAUGAGUUGAAAAUUCUCUACCUUCCUUUCGCAUUUGAUCUGAUAUAUAUUCAAUUUCUGUGAUUUGUGAUUUUUCGCGACACAGCUAUAGAGUUGAGAGAAAUUGGUUUCACCCAUUUGAUGAUAAAUCGCAUGUGAUUUCUAUUCUCUGUGCUAAAUUCUGUGUGCUAAAAAAUUAUCUGUGCCAAAUUCCUUGUGUUUUAAAAAGCCAUUCAGAAAUGAAAUUACUUUUUUUUUGUUUGAUUAUCUUUUGAGCACUGUGUCUUUUGUCAACUGCUUUACUAAUUCCUUGUUUUCAUCGACAUAUAAUGGGGAUUAUGACGAGCAAUAUCAUCAUAUAACACGCAUAAGGUCUCAACACCAGAUUAAGGCAAGUACUCAAUCUUUUAUAUUGGUUCAAAUCUACGCAAUAUUCUCCAGUUACAUGUUUUAUUCGAAUGUUUCACUAAUUUUUCGAAUCCAGUAAUGUCUGGACAAUGGUCCAAUUUAAGAAGAUUGAAGCAUUGCAGAAUAGGAUAUUGGCUAAUACAUAUUGAAAAAUUUCAUAUAGUUGGUGGACUGAUUUUGAAUUCUUUUUAUUGACCAAGACAUAUUAGAAUAUGUUAUUUGGUAAUGAUUUACUUGACUAUUGUCUGGUUGUGGUGUUGAUUUGCUUGAACUGUGUAUAUAUGAAUCAAUUCCUGUUUAAUUUCCAAAUGCUUACUAAUAUAUGUGAUAGUUAAAGCACAAAUGAUGU